UCACCCCUCUAGCACUGCUAGGUAUUGGGUCUCGCCAGGGCGCGGACCUCAAACCCCUACAGCAGCGCCGUCGGGCCCUCAGCGUAGUAAAUCUCUCGCUCGAGGACCGGCUGGUGCACGCUGAAUAAACCUCUCA
rnacentral:misc_RNA from 1 species